AUGUGCCUACGGGAGGCAGCAGUGGGGAAUAUUGCACAAUGGGGGAAACCCUGAUGCAGCGACGCCGCGUGAGUGAAGAAGUAUUUCGGUAUGUAAAGCUCUAUCAGCAGGGAAGAUAAUGACGGUACCUGACUAAGAAGCUCCGGCUAAAUACGUGCCAGCAGCCGCGGUAAUACGUAUGGAGCAAGCGUUAUCCGGAUUUACUGGGUGUAAAGGGAGCGCAGACGGCAAGGCAAGUCUGAUGUGAAAGUCCGAGGCUCAACCCCGGGGCUGCAUUGGGAACUGCCAGGCUGG
rnacentral:rRNA from 1 species